rnacentral:rRNA from 1 species
GACGAACGCUGGCGGCGUGCUUAACACAUGCAAGUCGAACGGAAAGGCCCUGCUUUUGUGGGGUGCUCGAGUGGCGAACGGGUGAGUAACACGUGAGUAACCUGCCCUUGACUUUGGGAUAACUUCAGGAAACUGGGGCUAAUACCGGAUAGGAGCUCCUGCUGCAUGGUGGGGGUUGGAAAGUUUCGGCGGUUGGGGAUGGACUCGCGGCUUAUCAGCUUGUUGGUGGGGUAGUGGCUUACCAAGGCUUUGACGGGUAGCCGGCCUGAGAGGGUGACCGGCCAAAUUGGGACUGAGAUACGGCCCAGAUUCCUACGGGAGGCAGCAGUGGGGAAUAUUGCACAAUGGGCGGAAGCCUGAUGCAGCAACGCCGCGUGCGGGAUGACGGCCUUCGGGUUGUAAACCGCUUUCGCCUGUGACGAAGCGUGAGUGACGGUAAUGGGUAAAGAAGCACCGGCUAACUACGU